rnacentral:rRNA from 1 species
GAACUUAAGCAUAUCAAUAAGCGGAGGAAAAGAAACUAACAAGGAUUCCCCCUAGUAACUGCGAGUGAAGAGGGAAAAGCUCAAAUUUAAAAUCUGGCAGCUUCGCUGUCCGAGUUGUAAUUUAGAGAAGUGUUACCCUUGCUGGACCGUGUAUAAGUUUCCUGGAACGGAACGUCAUAGAGGGUGAGAAUCCCGUCUUUGACACGGACUCCCAGUAUGUUGUGGUGCGCUCUCGAAGAGUCGUGUUGUUUGGGAAUGCAGCACUAAAUGGGUGGUAAAUUCCAUCUAAAGCUAAAUAUUGGCGAGAGACCGAUAGCAAACAAGUACCGUGAGGGAAAGAUGAAAAGAACUUUGGAAAGAGAGUUAAACAGUACGUGAAAUUGUUGAAAGGGAAACGCUUGAAGUCUAGUCGCGUCGGUUGGAAAUCAGUCUUGCUUCUCGCUUGACGUACUUUCUAGUCGACGGGUCAGCAUCAGUUUCGACCGUUGGACAAAGGUUGGGGGAAUGUGGCAUCCUCGGAUGUGUUAUAGCCUCUGAUCGCAUACAACGGUUGGGACUGAGGAACUCAGCACGCCGCAAGGCCGGGUAACUCGUUACCACGUUCGUGCUUAGGAUGCUGGCAUAAUAGCUUUAAUCGACCCGUCUUGAAACACGGACCAAGGAGUCUAACAUGCCUGCGAGUGUUUGGGUGGAAAACCCGAGCGCGCAAUGAAAGUGAAAGUUGAGAACUCAUCAGAGUGCAUCGACGCCCGGACCAGACGUUUUCUGACGGCUCCGCGGUAGAGCAUGUAUGUUGGGACCCGAAAGAUGGUGAACUAUGCCUGAAUAGGGUGAAGCCAGAGGAAACUCUGGUGGAGGCUCGUAGCGAUUCUGACGUGCAAAUCGAUCGUCGAAUUUGGGUAUAGGGGGCGAAAGACUAAUCGAACCAUCUAGUAGCUGGUUCCUGCCGAA